UAUGCUGAACCCCAAGUGAACUUGGAGAGAGACCUGGUUAUGUGGUUUCCAAUGUGUUUCUUUUUUUGAGGGAAAUAACAUCCAUUUAUCCAGAGAGCCGUAUCUGGAUUUGGCAAUGAGCACAUUCUACAAUCUGAAAAGGGACCCGACAGGCUAUUUUUUGGGUGGAGGAAGGAAGAUGCCGUCCUAGUGCAAGGAACGCAAGAGAAUUAUCAGGAAUGGCUGUGCAUCUCUUGCCAUUCUGAUCCUGAGGGACUCAUCAAGCAGUGAACCCACAGCCUUAUCCUGGACCUAACAUCUGUGGACAGGAGCACUGGGGUGCCUGACUACUGCCUGGACCAUGUGAGCACCUCUGCCCUGACAGCUGGACAGACUUCUUGGACGUCACAGAUAUCCA